GCAUCGAUAGCAUAGUGGCAGAGCGGUGGGGCGUUUACCCAUGCGGCCCGGGUUCGAUUCCCGGUCGAUGUA